CGUGUAGGCGGCCAAACAGGUCCGUUGUGAAAACUGGAGGCUUAACCUCCAGACGUCGACGGAAACCGUAUGGCUAGAGUCCGGAAGAGGAGAGUGGAAUUCCUGGUGUAGCGGUGAAAUGCGCAGAUAUCAGGAAGAACACCAAUGGCGAAGGCAGCUCUCUGGGACGGUACUGACGCUGAGACGCGAAAGCGGUGGGGAGCGAACA
rnacentral:rRNA from 1 species